rnacentral:tRNA from 1 species
GGUCGCAUGAUCUAGUUGGUUAGGACGUUCGCCUGUCACGCGAAAGAUCACGGGUUCGAAUCCCGUUGUGACCG